CCUACGGGCGGCAACAGUGGGGAAUAUUGGACAAUGGGCGAAAGCCAGAUCCAGCCAUGCCGCGUGUGUGAAGAAGGCCUUCGGGUUGUAAAGCACUUUCAGUGGGGAAGAAAGCCUUGGGGCUAAUACCCUCGAGGAAGGACAUCACCCACAGAAGAAGCACCGGCUAACUCCGUGCCAGCAGCCGCGGUAAUACGGAGGGUGCGAGCGUUAAUCGGAAUUACUGGGCGUAAAGCGCGCGUAGGCGGUCUGAUAAGCCGGUUGUGAAAGCCCCGGGCUCAACCUGGGAACGGCAUCCGGAACUGUCAGGCUAGAGUGCAGGAGAGGAAGGUAGAAUUCCCGGUGUAGCGGUGAAAUGCGUAGAGAUCGGGAGGAAUACCAGUGGCGAAGGCGGCCUUCUGGACUGACACUGACGCUGAGGUGCGAAAGCGUGGGUAGCAAACAGGAUUAGAUACCCUAGUAGUC
rnacentral:rRNA from 1 species